GAACGGCAGCGGUGUGUGUCUGGACCUCCAGGUGAUCGAUAACGUCCCCGGAGCCAAAGUCGAGGAAGAAACCGAGACGCAUCACUUCCUCACAGGGAACCUGUACAAACCCAGGAGACGGUAUCAGUCCCACUACAGCAGACACUUCAUGCCUCUGGGGGAGAAGGAGCGUCAGGACCGAGAGGUGUUCCAGAGGAAUAUGAAGAGCCGCAUGGAGACGUUCAAGUCCACCCGACACAAACGACACAAGAAGGACCGGACCCUCAAGAAGCGGCGAGGAUCUGACUCCAGAGAGGACAGCAGCGACAAACCCAGACGCAACGUCAGCUGGCAGGACAAGAGUAAAUAAAGACUCGCCAUCAUUAAAAUACUUCUAUCACAAUAAGAGACAAUAUAAAUACUUCUCUCACAAUAAGAGACAAUAUAAAUACUUCUAUCACAAUAAGAGACAGUAUAAAUACUUCUACCACA